GUGUUUUCAAAAAAUUGUUGAAGAAACUAUCUCAAAUUACCUUUCAGUACAUAUAUUGCAUAAAUAUCAUUUAAGCCUUGAAAUUUGUAAGAUGUUACAAAACAUUUAAAAUAAUUACUGGAUAUGUUGUAGCUCCUCACGUAAGCCUUUCCAUUAUGGAUGCAGGACAUGCACUCUACUGCACACCAAUACCUUCAGAAAACUCCUGGCCAAGUGUGUGCAAUCAGGAGCGAAACGAGGACAUUGCAGGCCAAAAACAAAAUCAAUGAAAUUCCCCCUACUUCCUUUGGCAGGAGGUAAAAAGAGAAAGGCCAGGGGGUAGGGUAUUGAAAGAGGGGUGGCCUGGUUUGUUCGUCUGGCCGAUGUUUGCCUUUCGGAUUCGUCCUGCAGGCGAGACCAAAGUUAUUAGUCCGCAACACCUUUUGGCGUUGCCGCAUUAGCCAAACAGCAUAAAAAAUGCAAGAAAAAAAAACACCAUGCAUUUAAGCAAACAGACAGCUAAUGGUUUUUCUUUCGAUGGCGUCUGAAAAGGAAAAGUUUUGCGUUCACAUAGGGAAAAUAUUUGCACUGAGGCAUGAAAGACUGCAACAUUUCCUCCUUUUACCCAGCUGUUAUAUCAGAACGGUUAUGAUGAUGCGCUCACCAUUCGACAGUUAUUUUAAUAUAAUUAACCUUGGUCACGCCACUUGGCGAAGUGGGUUACGAAAAAUUUGCAAGCCAAACACAAGCAAGAAAAUUGCGCAAACAAGUGACCCCGAGUAGUAAUUAAACCGCCAGCCGCACAACAAGUUACUCAUCUAAUCAAUGAAUUGAGCGUGGUCACUGAACCCCAUAAACAUAAAUAAGUGUUGCGUAAGAUAAGACGUGGAAACUGUUGACUUCCUAUAACUAUAAUUAUUAACCGAUGAAUAAUUCUCAUAUUC
rnacentral:lncRNA from 1 species